GACGAACGCUGGCGGCGUGCUUAACACAUGCAAGUCGAACGGAAAGGCCCUGCUUUUGUGGGGUGCUCGAGUGGCGAACGGGUGAGUAACGCGUGAGUAACCUGCCCUUGACUUUGGGAUAACUUCAGGAAACUGGGGCUAAUACCGGAUAGGAGCUCCUGCUGCAUGGUGGGGGUUGGAAAGUUUCGGCGGUUGGGGAUGGACUCGCGGCUUAUCAGCUUGUUGGUGGGGUAGUGGCUUACCAAGGCUUUGACGGGUAGCCGGCCUGAGAGGGUGACCGGCCACAUUGGGACUGAGAUACGGCCCAGACUCCUACGGGAGGCAGCAGUGGGGAAUAUUGCACAAUGGGCGGAAGCCUGAUGCAGCAACACCGCGUGCGGGAUGACGGCCUUCGGGUUGUAAACCGCUUUCGCCUGUGACGAAGCGUGAGUGACGGUAAUGGGUAAAGAAGCACCGGCUAACUACGUGCCAGCAGCCGCGGUGAUACGUAGGGUGCGAGCGUUGUCCGGAUUUAUUGGGCGUAAAGGGCUCGUAGGUGGUUGAUCGCGUCGGAAGUGUAAUCUUGGGGCUUAACCCUGAGCGUGCUUUCGAUACGGGUUGACUUGAGGAAGGUAGGGGAGAAUGGAAUUCCUGGUGGAGCGGUGGAAUGCGCAGAUAUCAGGAGGAACACCAGUGGCGAAGGCGGUUCUCUGGGCCUUUCCUGACGCUGAGGAGCGAAAGCGUGGGGAGCGAACAGGCUUAGAUACCCUGGUAGUCCACGCUGUAAACGGUGGGUACUAGGUGUGGGGUCCAUUCCACGGGUUCCGUGCCGUAGCUAACGCUUUAAGUACCCCGCCUGGGGAGUACGGCCGCAAGGCUAAAACUCAAAGGAAUUGACGGGGCCCCGCACAAGCGGCGGAGCAUGCGGAUUAAUUCGAUGCAACGCGUAGAACCUUACCUGGGUUUGACAUGGAUCGGGAGCGCUCAGAGAUGGGUGUGCCUCUUUUGGGGUCGGUUCACAGGUGGUGCAUGGCUGUCGUCAGCUCGUGUCGUGAGAUGUUGGGUUAAGUCCCGCAACGAGCGCAACCCUUGUUCACUGUUGCCAGCACGUUAUGGUGGGGACUCAGUGGAGACCGCCGGGGUCAACUCGGAGGAAGGUGGGGAUGACGUCAAGCCAUCAUGCCCCUUAUGUCCAGGGCUUCACGCAUGCUACAAUGGCUGGUACAGAGAGUGGCGAGCCUGUGAGGGUGAGCGAAUCUCGGAAAGCCGGUCUCAGUUCGGAUUGGGGUCUGCAACUCGACCUCAUGAAGUCGGAGUCGCUAGUAAUCGCAGAUCAGCAACGCUGCGGUGAAUACGUUCCCGGG
rnacentral:rRNA from 1 species